CCGCGUUCUCAGGGCGGGGUGAAACUCCCCACCGGCGGUAAAAGCCCGCGAGCGCCCCUCCACAAGGAGGGGGUCAAGCAGAUCCGGUGGAACUCCGGAGCCGACGGUCAAAGUCCGGAUGGAAGAGACGCGA
rnacentral:ncRNA from 2 species